UGGAGCUAUUUUCUCUGUCUAACCUUCUACUCUAACCCAAUCCAUGAACAAAAUUGAAAGCCCUAUAAUGCUAUUUUGAAGCUGAUCUUGUUUUCUUCUCAAACAAGAACUCCCACUUAGAACAUUGUGCUAAAAUAAGAACUCCGGUUGAGAACCUUCGUUCGAAACUAAACUCCCACUAAAAACCUUCAUCUAAAACCAGAACUCCUACUGAGAAGGUUUGUGUUGAAACCAGAACUCCCGCUGAGAUCAAGAUCUGUAACCGAACUCCCACUGAGAACCUUCGACUUAAACUAGAACUGUUGUUGAGAAUCGAAGCUUUGUUAUUGUGUUAGGGUUCCAAUCAAAGUGGAAUGCGUAUGAAGAAUAAAGUAACAAAUUCAAAAGGUGGAAGACGAUCAAA